CUGAAGGGUUAUGUCGAGGAGUCGAAUGAUGAGGUAACACUCUGAAAGGCUUCCUCUGCGUCGAAUAGCACGUUGUUUAGUGAGAAGUAAUGUGUUAUAAAGCUCGGCUAAUAGGCAUGAAAACUUACCGUAACAGUCCGGCUGACGAAAGCCUACCCGAUGGGGAUGAUAUGUUACGGCAAUACGAUCGGGUGCCACUCC
rfam:Lentibacillus amyloliquefaciens strain LAM0015, complete genome.